CGCGCGCCUGUAAUCCGGCUACUCGGAGGCUGAGGCUGUCGGAUUACUUGAGGCCAGGAGUUCUGGGCUGCCGCGGGCUGUGCCGAUCGGGUGUCCUCACUAAGUUGGGCAUCGAUAUGGUGUUUCCGGAGGAGUCCGGAAUCACCAGGUUGUGUAAAGAGGGGUGAAUCGGCCCAGGUCGGAAACGGAGCAGGUCAAAGCCCCCGUGCCCAUCAGUAGUCGGAUCGCGCCUGUGAAUAGACGCUGCAGCGCAGCCUGGUCAACACAGUGAGACACAGUCUCUUUUUCACACCUUUUCCACUCAAAUGGCAUAUUUUUAAACUUAAAAGAAUAUUACUUUGAUAUUGUGAUUCACUGAGGGUGAACUACUACUUCUACUACUACGACGUUGACUCAGGCCGAGAGGGUGAACAUGCUGGUUUAAAGGCAGACAUCAUAUCAAAACAAAAACAGAAGGUUGUGUUCCUUGAUUCUUCGAUGAUGCUGGAAUGGUGGGUCCAAGUCUGGAGGAAAGAGAAGUUACAAAUCAUUUGAGCAGAACAGAUGUUGUGCAAAAUAACAGAG